GCACGGGUCGCCAAAAUAGCAAAGGCGUCGGUCUUAGAAACCGAAGAUUGCGGUUUCGAAUCCCGCCCUGUGUACCA
rnacentral:tRNA from 1 species